rnacentral:lncRNA from 1 species
UGAGGAAUUGAGCUCCGUCAAUUCCACUCCGAUCGAUUCCGGCGAACUUCACGAAUCAAGAACACACUCGAUUUCACCCGGUUCGCGGUGUUAACGAACCGCUACGUCCGGUUAGGAUCUUUCGAUCCCCAACUUCCAUAGAUGAAUCGGAAACCACCUCCGACGGGUUUAUACACGAAUAUCACUCACCACCGAUCACACUCUGAUCGGUUUACAAGGGAAGAGAAUCCUAGAGAAAAGACUACCCCAAGACCCAAGAAUACAACCUCACUGUAUCUCUCUCUCUUGAUCUCUCUCUCACUCUCUUGAAGCUUUUUCGGGAAGAAGACGAUGACUUCGUCAAUCUCUCGUAUCUAUAGAAGCUGAAGACUUGUUUCUUUAUAAGGAUUAGUCAUCGCACAUGCCUCUCACGUGCUUUCAAUAACUCUUCUUUUCUAAGACCUUCUAGCUGAGUCAAAGUGUUUCCCACGCUAAUAUUAACCCACGCUUCAGUCUUCAAGCUUCUUCUUCUAGUUCCAUCAUGUUGAAUCAUUAUCUCACAAUCUCCACCUUGAUUCAAGCUUGAGAACUUCCUUGUAAGAGCUGCCUUUCGAACCCAAUUGACCAGGCUCUAAACUUGGCAUUUUAUCUUCAUGUACCUGCAUAAGUCCCACUUAUACAACCCAAACACAUAGUAAAUUUAAUCAACUUACUGCACUAUCAAUGACACUAGAGACAUUAGUCAAGCUCAAUCUCAGUGAUCACCAAAGUAAUCACGUCCAUUCUUGAGUUCCUGACUUCCCUAUGUCUCCUCCUGAGUUUUACCAGCUUUGACACAUUCUUUUGCAAAGCUAAACUCUCAUUGAUCCUGUGUUUUCAUCACCUGGAUACCUGAGUUAAACCACUCAGAAACAGAACAUUAACAAGCAAAAUAAUCAUCUCAGGCUUGUUAACAUCCAACAGAAACCUUCCCUAAGCAUGACUGCUUAUUAGGUUAGCCAACCACACAGUUACCACUAUGGUUUCUGUCACAACCAUCAGCCUGUUAAAGUGAUUGAGAAAACUUAACCUUUCUUCCUGCAACAUGAUUCUUGUGCUAUAGCCGUUUGUUUCUUUGUCAUGUGCACUGACCUUAGAAACGAACUCCCCUGAAUCAUUUGCAAUAGGUCCUUGAAUCACACAUGCUUCAACCUGAAGCAAUCCUUGAUUCAUACCUGCAAAACAAUCUCAACCAACUAUAUGUUAGUUUAAUUCAAACCUGAGAUUGUACUUACAGUCACUUGUUUGAACUUUAAGCAUCACUCUGCUCCGCUAUUGUUUCCAAUAGAACACGCCGUCUAACUCCACCUGGCUAGAAAGACUUUCGAAACAUUGAUCUUUGCUUAACCUUGUCCAAACCCCUUUCUGUCUCAGACUUGCUUGUAUCAGACUUGCUCCAGCUCAAGCAAUCUUCCAACAGACCUGCAUCAACACCUUAAACCUUCCUGAUGACGUUUUCUUUCAACCUUGUCUCACACCAACUGCCUCUUGUAGUGUUCCUGAGACUCACUCUGCAUCAGCCCUUAAGAUAUCUCCUCUAGAACCCUGAUAUCUUCUCUUUGCUAUGCCAUCCUCUAACACCUUUACAUGUAGAAGAAAACCACACCAGACUUGGUGUUUGCAUCACAUUCUGUCUCAGACCGAAUCCAUACCUCAUUCUGAUUCGCUUCAGUCUUUGAACAUGCCUUCAAAGCCUGUAAAUCUCCCGUGAGUAACAAUCCUCUGUUAUCCCUGAGCAGAAACUUUCCUUCGCUUCUUUGUGAUGCUCCCAAAGACACAAGUAGACCUCACUUGUUCUUAACCCCAAUGCAGUUUUACUCCUCUGCAUUUUCAUUCAAUUAUGAAUGCCUUCAGUUGCUUAACCUUCUGAGAUGACCAUACUUCCUUAUCCGUUGACCCUGACUUUGAAGCUAUCGUUCUUGCAGGCCCUGCAACAGACCCUGCAACUAGCCUUUCUUCAACGUGUCCUCAUCUCAGAUACUCACACCACCAUCUCCUUAUCCUUGAGAUGCCUGCAACUGACCACUAGAUGUUCUUACCACCAUCAAUCACUCCACCAGACUUGAGCAGCCUCCACUUUUACCUCUGAUGAAACCAACCUGUGACUGAACCUGUUGACAUCUCUUUCUGACCUUGGAACUUUGUCUUCUUCAGAUACCAAUCACCAUGACUCCUAACAAAACCAGUGACACAUUCCCUAUUAACUCCUUCUCGCUGUGAGCUAACCAUCCUCUGAAACCGUCUUGACUUUAGUACUCCACCUGCAGUUAAACCUCUUAAAUGGCUUAUACUUUAUUUACUUGCAGAGACUCCACCUGAAGCUUGAAUCCUUCAACAAACUCCAAAUAUUUCUCAACUUAGCUCCACCUUGAGAGUUAAACAUCACUGUCUCGUUAUUCAACCAUGGAUCAUUGCUUGAUACUGUGUCUCAGCCUCAUGACACACACUCAUUGUCUCUGCAGCCACUGAAAAAAAAAUCGCUUAUACCAGAAGAUCACCACAAUGCUUCCAUUUGCUUCUUUGUGCCACUUAACUUGAACUGGCUUUCACUGCUGCAAGCAUUCCCUCUUUUGAAUGUGUAACUUGUGUCAAUCUUUGAGACAUUUCUCAUGUUGUAUCUCUUUGACAUCUUGACUCUUCCUUGUCACUGAACUCUGACCAUUCAGAACAGAACUCCUGCUGCCAUCUUCAAGUACUUCAUUACACUAACGAACCGAGCUUUUGGCCGUUAGGAAUGUACCAUUUUAAAGCCCACUGUCAAGUAAACUAGAAAAUACUUCCCUUUCCAUAGGUUUCUAUACCACUGAUUCCACCAUCAGUUGCACCAAGAGUAAUCAUCUUCCCAGCCAAGUUAAGACACUACUUCCCUGUGUCACAACAGCUCUGACCUGAGCUUGUCUCAGUUAAUGCAAUACACCACAAGAGCUUCUUGCUUCAGCUCCCACAUGAGCAUUUAUGUUUCAGCAGAUCAGACUGUCUAUUUGCUUUACACACAUCUAUUCUGCUCCAAACUGAUUCCCUCUUGACUUUGAUAACACUCUUUGCCUCCUUCUCGCUACUGAUCGAGACCUCCUUGAGUUUGUUCAGCUUGGUUAUCCCCUCACACAGCUCCACCUCGAACUGUGCUUCUUUCUUGUUUUGACUCUGCCUUGAUGUCUUUGUAAUUCAUAUCCUCUAUGAAGAACCCAUGCUGACUGCCGACAUCCUCUUCACAUAUGAUAACCACACGCUGAAGCCUUCAUCUGAUGAGACCAUGCUGAACCUUGAACUCGUUGAUACUCUCUGGGCUUUCUUCUCAGAAACUCCUCUGAAAAUAACACUGCUCCACAAGUUCUUCUUGCUGCCACUGAGAACUCCAAUAUGAUCUUGCCUCAGUCUCUGUCCAGCCAUCUUUUGAGAACGUUCACGUUCUUCAUGUUCUUCCCACAGACAUGAACUUUACCCAGAUGUAUUCUACCUCUGGAGCUUCCUUGUAGAACUCACUUCUGGCCUUUUACAAUUUUUUUUUUUUUCCUUCAUUCCUGGAUCAUAUCUUCAAAGCUCACCACGCCUCAGAACUAACCAUCUGAACCUCACAGAUUUCAUGAUCAACCUCUUGACCACAUUCACCACGUUCUGUAGACUUCCCAGAUUUUGAGCUUCUGAUCCUUACCUCUGAGACUAAUCAAACACACAAGCUUCCCUCAAAUCUGAACCAUAACUUGAAAGCCUUCAAAGUUAUUUCCCUGCUCUCAUAAACUGAUUUUCUGGUCUUGAUCCAUACUCAAAACACCAUAUACUUCUCUGAACUCUGAAAACCAAAACUGAUGUAAAAGCUUCCACCAACACACAGUAGUCAAACCACCUAAGGCGUCCCCUAGUUCUUCGAUCUAAGUGUGUUACCUCCUGCUUAUUCCCCCAGCAAACACUUGAACACCAGCAGCACGUACUCCUUUCACACCAAGAAUUUAACCAAAGAAAACAACUUGAACCUAGUACAACUUUGGCUAUCUCCUUCUGCAAAACCAGUAUGCCUCUCUUGUGUUCCAACCAGCUUUCAAUUCUUUGAGAAUCACCAACCAUGAGUACCAAGAACAUCAACGAAAUACAUCACACGAUGUACCUUGUGAGUGCAUCUAAUCUUGACAAACAUCCCUGAUUUGAGCCUUACUCUUGCUUGAUUCUUUCUUGACAAACAUAACCCUGCGUCGAAAGCUCUCAGCGUUGAGACAUCCUCCUCUCGUUAGCUGCCAUGAUUUCACCCUCUUGAAAUCAUCACCAGGGAUGAGUUUCUUCCCUGAGACUCUGUCUUUCUUCAAGACCGGCGAUAUCAACAUGAACCCAGCUGAUACCUUCUCCUUCCUCAGCUCGAGACGUCUCCGUAACGGUAAACCAUACGCUCGUCUUCUUUGAAACUUGACGAAGAGUACGUUAUCUUUGAUUAUCUUUCCUCUUUCCAGAACCUGCAAUCUCCAUCACAUAACAGAUUCCAGACUCCAUAAUUAAUUGAUCCAAGAUCAAUCACCAACUUAGCUCGUGAUAUCGCAAACCCGUAACGAUUCAUCUUUCUUCUUCCUCCGGUUCGUUUCUUGAACGAAUCACUUGAAGAUCCGAAGCUAAUCCACGCAUCGCCAUAACCUUGCGCUCUGAUACCACUUGUUGAGGAAUUGAGCUCCGUCAAUUCCACUCCGAUCGAUUCCGGCGAACUUCACGAAUCAAGAACACACUCGAUUUCACCCGGUUCGCGGUGUUAACGAACCGCUACGUCCGGUUAGGAUCUUUCGAUCCCCAACUUCCAUAGAUGAAUCGGAAACCACCUCCGACGGGUUUAUACACGAAUAUCACUCACCACCGAUCACACUCUGAUCGGUUUACAAGGGAAGAGAAUCCUAGAGAAAAGACUACCCCAAGACCCAAGAAUACAACCUCACUGUAUCUCUCUCUCUUGAUCUCUCUCUCACUCUCUUGAAGCUUUUUCGGGAAGAAGACGAUGACUUCGUCAAUCUCUCGUAUCUAUAGAAGCUGAAGACUUGUUUCUUUAUAAGGAUUAGUCAUCGCACAUGCCUCUCACGUGCUUUCAAUAACUCUUCUUUUCUAAGACCUUCUAGCUGAGUCAAAGUGUUUCCCACGCUAAUAUUAACCCACGCUUCAGUCUUCAAGCUUCUUCUUCUAGUUCCAUCAUGUUGAAUCAUUAUCUCACAAUAUGCUGUAAGUACAUCAUCUCCUUUUAGAACCGCAGCUAGUUGUACAAGCUCUUGCUGAAACUCACUCAAUUUAGCAUUCUCAUUCGCCUCAGUCAUUCUUAUCUUA